UGACCUCGGAUCAGGCAGGGAGUACCCGCUGAACUUAA
rnacentral:rRNA from 1 species